ensembl:lncRNA
GUCAUUUCAAAUAAUGAAAACUACAUUAUAAUCAAUGUAGUUUUUGUUGGAGAAUUAUGCUCACCAUGUGUCCAACUGGAUAACUUAUGUUCAGAAACUUGUUUUGAAGGCACUUCCCUAGCUGGAGGAUGAAGACGUAAAUGCUAUUAGCCACUGGAAUCUCAGCUCUGUGUCUUGAUCACCAGACUUUCAUUUUCAGAUCGAAGUUGGUCUGUGAUGGUCAAAGGAGAAAAGCAACUGAACUUCUCAGUAUGCACUACAUUGGGGCCAAAGGAGGUGAACCAGACCAAGAAGAAGCAAAGAGAAAGAGCCCUGAGGAAUUCUUCGCUGGAUGAGACCCAAUCAAGUCUUCCCUCAAAGCAAGUAAUCUCAUCUGGACACCCUGAAGACACUGCAUUUCCAGGAAUUGGAUGGACUACUCUAGACCAGAGGGCUUCUACAUCUUCCUGUUGAGACCUUCAGGUGGAGCCAUGGCCUGGCGGUGGGGAUGCUGAAGUGGAGCCUGGUGGGAUGAUAAGAUUCCCAUGGGAACAGGAGUUCUCAGAUUCACGAAGCAGAAAAGCCCUGAGUGGGUAUUCCGGACCAGCAAUGACGAAAAAGUCUCAAAUGUUUGCCAACUGGAUUUUCAUCAGUCUAGGAAGUUAACUUGGACCGUCUUUCCAAAGAUGCAAAUCUGAUCAUGACACCCUCCUUCCUCAAACAGUUCAAUGACCCCUCACAGUCAUCAGGAUAAAGCCCACUGCAAUCUACCUAUCUGACCAGGUGAUUGAAGGAAGGGCGAAGUCAGCUUCCUGAGAAACUUCAAAGCGAAAUGUUGUGGAUCACAUCUCUGAGUAAUCUGAGAUUUCAAGAGCAAGAGGGAGAGGAUUUUAAUCUUCAGGGAAAAGAAAAAAUCAAACAGAUUAAAACUCAAAUCCCUCCAGAGGGAACCACAUAUCAAGGGGAUCAAACAGCACCUGAACCUCAAGGAUACUGUUGUGUUCAGGUCAGGUGUUCAACUCUCAAGCCAGACUCAGCCCCUGAAAGGAAAGCGCUAUAUCCUGUUUUCCUUUGAAUUCUCUGGACUCAGG